UAAAAGAUAAAACCAAACCUCUCA
rnacentral:piRNA from 1 species